rnacentral:pre_miRNA from 1 species
AACAUUCAUUGCUGUCGGUGGGUUUUACUUUUAAACAACUCACUGAUCAGUGAAUGCAAA